AUUGAACGCUGGCGGAAUGCUUUACACAUGCAAGUCGAACGGUAGAGGGGGCAACCCCUCGAGAGUGGCGAACGGGUGAGUAAUAUAUCGGAACGUGCCCAGUCGUGGGGGAUAACGUAGCGAAAGUUACGCUAAUACCGCAUACGAUCUAAGGAUGAAAGCGGGGGACCGUAAGGCCUCGCGCGAUUGGAGCGGCCGAAGUCAGAUUAGGUAGUUGGGGAGGUAAAGGCUCACAAAGCCGACGAUCUGUAGCUGGUCUGAGAGGACGACCAGCAACACUGGGACUGAGACACGGCCCAGACUCCUCCGGGAGGCAGCAGUGGGGAAUUUUGGACAAUGGGCGCAAGCCUGAUCCAGCCAUUCCGCGUGCAGGACGAAGGCCUUCGGGUUGUAAACUGCUUUUGUACGGAACGAAAAGGCUCUGGUUAAUACCUGGGGCUCAUGACGGUACCGUAAGAAUAAGCACCGGCUAACUACGUGCCAGCAGCCGCAGUAA
rnacentral:rRNA from 1 species